UAUUAGGUUUACGUGUCCAACGUUUAACCAUCCGUCUUAUUUGAAAAAAAUAAAAAAAAAUUAAAAAGACAAGUCACACAUAAAGUAUUAAUCAUGUUUUAUCAUCUAACAACAAUGAAAAUACUAAUUAUAAAAAAAUUUCAUAUAAAACGGACAGUCAACGUUUGAUAUGGAAACACAGGGUUUGUGUUGUA
rfam:Oryza glumipatula chromosome 7, whole genome shotgun sequence.